rnacentral:ncRNA from 1 species
CUCUUGAGAACCGCGAGAAGCGGUCAGCCUACCGGGCUGAUCGACAGUGCAUCUCUUAAAAGGACGUUUAUUCCUCGGCUCUUGCCGAAAAACUCAACAGGCGGGUGCGUUCUGGUAGCGAUAUACCGUGAACGUUCGCCCCCGCC